rnacentral:rRNA from 1 species
UACGAACUGUGCAAACGUUAUUCGGAUUCACUGGGCUUAAAGGGCGCGUAGGCGGCCUGGUAAGUAGGGGGUGAAAUCCUGCGGCUUAACCGCAGGGCUGCCUUCUAAACUGUCAGGCUCGAGCACAGUAGAGGCAGGUGGAAUUCCCGGUGUAGCGGUGGAAUGCGUAGAGAUCGGGAAGAACAUCGGUGGCGAAGGCGGCCUGCUGGGCUGUUGCUGACGCUGAGGCGCGGACAGCG